AGAGAGAGACAUGCGCGCAUAUCAAUAAGCGGAGGAAAAGAAACUAACUAGGAUUCCCUCAGUAACGGCGAGUGAAGCGGGAAGAGCUCAAAUUUGAAAUCUUCAAGGUUCUACCUUGACGAAUUGUAGUUUAAAGAAGUGUUUUCUGUUGGAGUUUUGGUAAAAGUUCUUUGGAAUAGGACAUCAUAGAGGGUGAGAAUCCCGUAUUUGACCAUUAUUUCCAGCUUUGUGAUACACUUUCAAAGAGUCGGAUUGUUUGGGAAUGCAGUCCAAAAUGGGUGGUAAAUUUCAUCUAAAGCUAAAUAUUGGCGAGAGACCGAUAGCGAACAAGUACCGUGAGGGAAAGAUGAAAAGAACUUUGAAAAGAGAGUUAAACAGUACGUGAAAUUGUCAAAAGGGAAGCGUUUGACACCAGUGUUGUUUUUCUGAAAAUCAAUUAAAGAACUGUUUAUGCUAAGUUGUUUAGACUUUAUCAGCUACUGUUUAGUUUUGAGCUUUUCUUUAAUGCACUUUUCAGUUAACAAGUCAACAUCAAUUUCUUUUGCUGUAAAAAAGCUUGAGGAAGGUGGCUUGAGAUUCGUCUUAAGUGUUUAUAGCCUCUUGCCUAUGCAGUCGGAGAGAUUGAGGUCUGCAGCGUAGAUCCUUCGGGGCUAAGUGCAUUUGUGCUAAGUUAUAGCAUUUUAUAGACAACUUGUUGACUAUGAUUUGUCUUGUAGCUUACUCGCUUAUGUUAUUUUACCUACGCUUAGGAUGUUGAUGUGAUACUGCGAGCA
rnacentral:rRNA from 1 species